rnacentral:rRNA from 1 species
GACGAACGCUGGCGGCGUGCUUAACACAUGCAAGUCGAACGGAAAGGCCCUGCUUUUGUGGGGUGCUCGAGUGGCGAACGGGUGAGUAACACGUGAGUAACCUGCCCCUGACUUUGGGAUAACUUCAGGAAACUGGGGCUAAUACCGGAUAGGAGCUCCUGCUGCAUGGUGGGGGUUGGAAAGUUUCGGCGGUUGGGGAUGGACUCGCGGCUUAUCAGCUUGUUGGUGGGGUAGUGGCUUACCAAGGCUUUGACGGGUAGCCGGCCUGAGAGGGUGACCGGCCACAUUGGGACUGAGAUACGGCCCAGACGCCUACGGGAGGCAGCAGUGGGGAAUAUUGCACAAUGGGCGGAAGCCUGAUGCAGCAACGCCGCGUGCGGGAUGACGGCCUUCGGGUUGUAAACCGCUUUCGCCUGUGACGAAGCGUGAGUGACGGUAAUGGGUAAAGAAGCAACGGCUAACUACGUG